GGGAGUGCCUUCGGGAGCCAGGAGACAGGUGCUGCAUGGCUGUCGUCAGCUCGUGUCGUGAGAUGUUGGGUUAAGUCCCGCAACGAGCGCAACCCUUGCCAUUAGUUGCUACGAAAGGGCACUCUAAUGGGACUGCCGGUGACAAACCGGAGGAAGUGGGGAUGACGUCAAGUCCUCAUGGCCCUUAUAGGUGGGGCUACACACGUCAUACAAUGGCCGGUACAGAGGGUAGCCAACCCGCAGGGGGAGCCAAUCCCACAAAGCCGGUCGUAGUCCGGAUCGCAGUCUGCAACUCGACUGCGUGAAGUCGGAAUCGCUAGUAAUCGCGGAUCAGCAUGUCGCGGUGAAUACGUUCCCGGGUCUU
rnacentral:rRNA from 1 species